rnacentral:rRNA from 1 species
UCAAGCUAGUAAGGGCAUACGGUGGAUGCCUAGGCGCUAAGAGGCGAAGAAGGGCGUGGUAAGCUGCGAAAAGCCCCGGGGAGCCGCAAGCAGGCUUAGAUCCGGGGAUACCCGAAUGGGGCAACCCGCCUGGAGCAAUAUCCAGGCACCCUGUAGUGAAUUCAUAGGUACAGGGAGCUAACCGGGGGAACUGAAACAUCUUAGUACCCCGAGGAAGAGGAAGCAAACGCGAUUCCCCCAGUAGCGGCGAGCGAAGCGGGAAGAGCCCAAACCUUAUGCAUGGAGAAGGCUGCAACCGUUGUGCAUAAGGGGUCGAGGGGCUUCCAGGAGCAAUUGCAGGUGCUCGACAGGAGUGAAGUCCGUAGGAGAAGGGGACUGGAAAGUCCCGCCAUAGAAGGUAAUAGCCCUGUAUCCGAAACGGACUGAACAACUGGGAAGGACCCCAAGUACCGCGGGACACGAGGAAUCCCGUGGGAAUUCGGGAGGACCACCUUCCAAGGCUAAAUACUCCUUAGCGACCGAUAGUGCACUAGUACCGUGAGGGAAAGGUGAAAAGCACCCCGGGAGGGGAGUGAAAUAGAACCUGAAACCGUAUGCCCACAAGCAGUCAGAGGGCGUUAAAGCCUGAUGGCGUACUUUUUGUAGAACGGGCCGGCGAGUUACGUUAACGGGCGAGGUUAAGGGGAAGACCCGGAGCCGGAGCGAAAGCGAGUCUGAAGAGGGCGAUAGUCCGUUGACGUAGACCCGAAACCGGGUGAUCUACCCAUGGGCAGGGUGAAGCGAGAUUAAACUCUCGUGGAGGCCCGAACCGACCGACGUUGAAAAGUCGGCGGAUGACCUGUGGGUAGGGGUGAAAUGCCAAUCGAACCCGGAGAUAGCUGGUUCUCCCCGAAAUAGCUUUAGGGCUAGCCUCAAGGGUAGACUAACGGAGGUAGAGCACUGAUAAGGCUAGGGGCCUUACCAGGUUACCGAACCUUUUCAAACUCCGAAUGCCGUUAGGUGGUCCUUGGGAGUCAGACUGCGGGUGCAAAGAUUCGUAGUCGAGAGGGAAACAGCCCAGACCAACAGCUAAGGUCCCCAAAGACGGGCUAAGUGGAAAAGGAUGUAGAGUUGCUUAAACAACCAGGAUGUUGGCUUAGAAGCAGCCACCAUUUAAAGAGUGCGUAAUAGCUCACUGGUCGAGUGACUCUGCGCCGAAAAUUUAGCGGGGCUCAAGCCCGUUACCGAAGCUUUGGAUUCAGGAGGCAGGAUACUAGAGGCAGGAAGCAGGAGGCAAGGCAUGAUACAAAGCUAUGAGAACCUGGAGGUUUACCGAAAGGCAUAUAAAUUAGCUUUGGAAAUGCAUCAAGUUGCCUUGAGAUUUCCUGUUACGAGAGAUAUGAAUUAGGUAGCCAGUUAAGGAGAGCAUCGAAAUCUAUUCCGCUUAAUAUUGGCGAGGGAUAUGGGAAAAGAACUUCCGCAAAUGAGUUCAAACGCUAUCUUAGUAUGGCCAUAGGCUCAUGCGAUGAAGUAAAGAUUAUACUAACGUUUAGUAGAGAUUUAGGAUAUAUCUCGAACGAGCAAUAUGAGAACUAUCGCCAAGCCUAUAAUAUGGUAGGGAAGAUGCUAUACAAACUAUUUAAGAACUGGCACUAACUCUUGCAUCUUGCUUCUAGUAUCCUGCUUCCUGAAUGGUAGGGGAGCGUUCUGCAGGCGGCGAAGGUGUACCGUAAGGAGCGCUGGAGCCUGCAGAAGAGAGAAUGCCGGCAUAAGUAAGCGAGAAGGCAGGUGAGAAUCCUGCCCGCCGAAAACCUAAGGGUUCCUGGGGAAGGCUCGUCCACCCAGGGUAAGUCGGGACCUAAGCCGAGGCGAAGAGCGUAGGCGAUGGACAAUCGGUUGAAAUUCCGAUACCACCAAAGAGUCGUUAACAGGAAGGGGUGACGCAGGAGGGUAGGCCCAGCGCACCGUUGGUCGUGUGCGUCCAAGCCCGUAGGGUGUGAGGUAGGCAAAUCCGCCUCACAAGAAGCCCGAGAGGUGACGGGGAGCGAAAUUAAGUAGCGAACUGGCCGAGCCCAAACUGCCAAGAAAAGCCUCUAACGAGACUCGAGGUGCCCGUACCGUAAACCGACACAGGUAGGUGGGGAGAGGAUCCCAAGGCGCGCGAGCGAACCUUCGUUAAGGAACUCGGCAAAAUGACCCCGUAACUUCGGGAGAAGGGGUACCCCGUUAGGGUGAUAGUAGAACAUACUAAAGCCCGAGGGGGUCGCAGAGAAGUGGCCCAAGCGACUGUUUACCAAAAACACAGGUGCCUGCUAAAGCGUAAGCUGAAGUAUAGGUGCUGACGCCUGCCCGGUGCUGGAAGGUUAAGGGGAAGGGUUAGCAUUC